CCUACGGGUGGCAGCAGUGAGGAAUAGUGGUCAAUGGACGAGAGUCUGAACCAGCCAAGUAGCGUGAAGGAUGACGGCCCUAUGGGCUGUAAACUGCGUUUAUAGGGGAAUAAAAUGUGGCACGUGAGGGAUUUUGUAUGUACCAUAUGAAUAAGGAUCGGCUAACUCCGUGCCAGGAGCCGCGGUAAUACGGAGGAUCCGAGCGUUAGCCGGAUUGAUUGGGGUUAAAGGGAGCGUAGGUGGUUUGUUCAGUCAGUUGUGACAGUUUGCGGCGCCACCGUAAAAUUGACGUUGAAACGGGCAGUCUUGAGUACAGUAGAGGUGGGCUGCAUUCGUGUUGUAGC
rnacentral:rRNA from 1 species